CGAGACUCCUACUCAUUUAGUUUCCUAAGGUUGCUAUUUAUUUAGCCACAACUCUAAAGAAGGUCUCUAUAUGUUCUUAACAAAAAGAGUUCAGAGAAUGCCUUGUGGACACUGAGAUCAUGAAGACAUGCAUAUAGGAUUCUUCCUUCGUUAUUACUCUCCAAAAGGACCCAAAUCUGAUCUUCACAGAAGAGCACCUGGCCUAAUGGAAAGAGCACGGUCCUGGAGAUUUGAGCUGGUAGCCCAGGAAAUUUCUGGCCAGUAAUAACCUCACCUGGAGUGGAUUUCCCAGAUCCUGCUCUGGCACCCUGAGGACUCUGCUAAGACUGAAGAAGCAAAAUGGGUAUCAAAUAUGUGUGUCUCCAUUUCACCCUCUUUAAUAUUGGAUUGUUGAGCACUCCGGUUCACUCCAUGGUUCAGAUCUUCCACUUUAAAUCUAUUUUGUGGGAGGAGAUGUUGAAUUCUGAGUUGAUCCAGUCAUCCUCUUUGAGUUCCAUUUGCUGAUAUUUGAUCUUUAAAAUGUGUGGAAUAUAUCUUCAUAACUGGGAUAACUUAGAGUUCAUGAAACAAUUUAAUAUGAAGUAUUACUAUAACAGAAAUUUAAAAUGUUCUUUUCUAACUGGUUAAAUAAUAGUAGUAGGGUUGAACCUAGGUUCAGUACUAUAGUUUGGAGGGAGAUUUUCAGGACACUUCGUCAGUAAGGAUCCUGUAGUUCUAUUCUUUCUCUAAACAUUUUAGAGAAUGUUUUGGGUAAGGAAUCAAUCAAUCGCAUUUACU